UCAGUGGUGCACAAAGAUAGUAUAAGGUAUCCACAGAAGAGAUGAGCCGAAAGCAGACACCUAGUGAUUUUCUGAAGCAAAUUAUAGGCCGACCUGUAGUGGUGAAACUUAACUCUGGAGUUGAUUACAGAGGUGUUUUAGCAUGUCUCGAUGGAUAUAUGAACAUAGCAUUAGAACAAACAGAAGAAUAUGUAAAUGGACAACUAAAGAAUAAAUAUGGAGAUGCAUUUAUAAGAGGAAAUAAUGUUUUAUAUAUCAGCACACAAAAGAGACGAGGCUAGGAAAGAUAUUUGUCCCGAGGAACACGGUGUCCCGAUUUUCUUGACAGGAGAAUGUAAACAAGAGAGGCAUCUAUUCUGAUCUCAACAACAGAAAUGUACAUCAGAAGAGACAAUUUUAUUGCAGGCAUAUUGUUGUCAUUGACUUCAGCCUAGGCCUGCUAUGUAGAUUGAUUGAUUGAUAUUCGUGGCUUCGAAUAUCAGCAAGCAGAGGACUUACUAAAAUGUACAGUUAAGCUUUGGAUCUGUAAAGCUCAGGAUGGCUCUUUCCUUCAUAAUAAAGUGACUUUGUGUUGGAGAACAUGUUUUGAUAUAGGAAACAUUACUUAUAGUGAAGGCUAUAGAAGACUGCCUUGUUUAAAAAAAUGUUAUUACUGCUCUUACAACAUGCUUAAUAUUUUUUAGAACACACACAUUCACAGUAUUUUUUAAAUUUCACCUCUUGAUGUCUUUAGUUUAUUAUAAAGAAAUGUAUUGAUAUAUUUAUAUUCUUUAGUCAUUAAAUUUCACAGAACUGAUGCCAUAUUACCACCUUUCAAUUGAUGAUUGAUAUUCAGGUAUUGCAGUGGUCACAGUAAAUACUGUGAGAUUCUUUACAAGAUUUGAAUGAUAGCUGUAAAUAUUUGUAAUAUAAAAAAAAAUAAAUAAAAUAAAACUUCAA